AGUGAACGCUGGCGGUAGGCCUAACACAUGCAAGUCGAACGGCAGCACAGUAAGAGCUUGCUCUUACGGGUGGCGAGUGGCGGACGGGUGAGGAAUACAUCGGAAUCUACUUUUUCGUGGGGGAUAACGUAGGGAAACUUACGCUAAUACCGCAUACGACCUACGGGUGAAAGCAGGGGAUCUUCGGACCUUGCGCGAUUGAAUGAGCCGAUGUCGGAUUAGCUAGUUGGCGGGGUAAAGGCCCACCAAGGACGAUCCGUAGCUGGUCUGAGAGGAUGAUCAGCCACACUGGAACUGAGACACGGUCCAGACUCCUACGGGAGGCAGCAGUGGGGAAUAUUGGACAAUGGGCGCAAGCCUGAUCCAGCCAUACCGCGUGGGUGAAGAAGGCCUUCGGGUUGUAAAGCCCUUUUGUUGGGAAAGAAAAGCAGCAGGUUAAUACCCCGCUGUUCUGACGGUACCCAAAGAAUAAGCACCGGCUAACUUCGUG
rnacentral:rRNA from 1 species